rnacentral:rRNA from 1 species
CGCAGGCGGUCUGUCAAGUCGGAUGUGAAAUCCCCGGGCUCAACCUGGGAACUGCAUUCGAAACUGGCAGGCUUGAGUCUUGUAGAGGGGGGUAGAAUUCCAGGUGUAGCGGUGAAAUGCGUAGAGAUCUGGAGGAAUACCGGUGGCGAAGGCGGCCCCCUGGACAAAGACUGACGCUCAGGUGCGAAAGCGUGGGGAGCAAACAGGAUUAGAUACCCUGGUAGUCCACGCCGUAAACGAUGUCUACUUGGAGGUUGUGCCCUUGAGGCGUGGCUUCCGGAGCUAACGCGUUAAGUAGACCGCCUGGGGAGUACGGCCGCAAGGUUAAAACUCAAAUGAAUUGACGGGGGCCCGCACAAGCGGUGGAGCAUGUGGUUUAAUUCGAUGCAACGCGAAGAACCUUACCUGGUCUUGACAUCCACAGAACUUUCCAGAGAUGGAUUGGUGCCUUCGGGAACUGUGAGACAGGUGCUGCAUGGCUGUCGUCAGCUCGUGUUGUGAAAUGUUGGGUUAAGUCCCGCAACGAGCGCAAC